ensembl:snoRNA SNORA71 Small nucleolar RNA SNORA71
ACUAUUCGAAAGUGAUUGUGGGCUUCCCAUGCCCUGGCCAUUGGUAGCGCAGGGAGAGGAUGCGGGAAGCCUCUCCCAUGUUUGGAAGGUCCACUCCUGUCUCUAACGUGAGCAUUGUUCCCGCCA